UACGUAGGGGGCAAGCGUUGUCCGGAAUUAUUGGGCGUAAAGAGCGUGUAGGCGGCCAGAUAAGUCCGCUGUGAAAUCUCGAGGCUCAACUUCGAGCUGUCGGUGGAAACUAUCUGGCUAGAGUCCGGAAGAGGAGAAUGGAAUUCCUGGUGUAGCGGUGAAAUGCGCAGAUAUCAGGAGGAACACCGAUGGCGAAGGCAGGUCUCUGGGCCGAAACUGACGCUGAGGAGCGAAAGCGUGGGGAGCAAACAGG
rnacentral:rRNA from 1 species